rnacentral:rRNA from 1 species
CCUACGGGCGGCUGCAGUAGGGAAUAUUGCUCAAUGGGGGAAACCCUGAAGCAGCAACGCCGCGUGGAGGAUGAAGGUUUUCGGAUUGUAAACUCCUGUUGUUAGAGAAGAUAAUGACGGUAUGUAACGAAUAAGCACCGGCUAACUCCGUGCCAGCAGCCGCGGUAAUACGGAGGGUGCAAGCGUUACUCGGAAUCACUGGGCGUAAAGAGCGCGGAGGCGGGAUAGUAAGUCAGAUGUGAAAGCCUAUGGCUUAACCAUAGAACUGCAUUUGAAACUGUGAUUCUAGAGUGUGGGAGAGGUAGGUGGAAUUCUUGGUGUAGGGGUAAAAUCCGUAGAUAUAAAGAGGAAUACUCAUGGCGAAGGCGACCUGCUAGAACAUAACUGACGCUGAUGCGCGAAAGCGUGGGGAGCAAACAGGAUUAGAUACCCCAGUAGUC